rnacentral:misc_RNA from 1 species
GGUUCGAUCAUGGCUCAGUUGAACGCUGGCGGGAUGCUUACAUGCAAGUCGAACGGCGGGCACGGACUUCGGUCUGGCGGCGGUGGCGAACGGGUGAGUAAUGUAUCGGAACGUGCCUAGUAGCGGGGGAUAACUACGCGAAAGCGUAGCUAAUACCACAUACGCCCAUACAGGAAAGCAGGGGACCUUCGGGCCUCGCACUGUAGAGCGGCCGAUAUCGGGAUUAGCUUCUU